ACAAUGUAGAGUUUGAUCCUGGCUCAGGAUGAACGCUAGCUACAGGCUUAACACAUGCAAGUCGAGGGGCAGCAGGAAGAUGUGCUUGCACAACUUUGCUGGCGACCGGCGCACGGGUGAGUAACGCGUAUCCAACCUUCCCUAUAGUAGAGAAUAGCCCGGCGAAAGUCGGAUUAAUGCUCUAUGUUUUCCAUUGAUGGCAUCAGAUUUGGAACAAAGGUUUUCCGCUAUAGGAUGGGGAUGCGUCUGAUUAGCUUGUUGGCGGGGUAACGGCCCACCAAGGCAACGAUCAGUAGGGGUUCUGAGAGGAAGGUCCCCC
rnacentral:ncRNA from 1 species